AUAUUGCAGCAUUGGAGAGAAGGGCUUCAGGGUGCUUGCAUAAGCACUGAGAUCAAAUCCCUCACACAUGAGAGAUCUGCAGCUGAGUGGGAAUGAGGCAGGAGAUUCAGGAGUGGAGCAUCUUUCUUCUCUUCUGGAGGACACCAACUAUAGACUGCAGAAACUAGAUCUGUCCAAUUGCAUUAUUGGAGAGGAAGGUUUCAGUGCUCUUGCAUCAGCACUGAGAUCAAACCCCUCACACAUCAGAGAGCUACAGCUGAGUGGGAAUGAAGCAGGAGAUUCAGGAGUGAAACAUCUUUCUUCUCUUCUGGAGGACACCAACUGCAAAUUGGAGAAACUUAACCUCUAUAACUGCAUCAUUCGAAAGGAAGGCUUUAAAG